ACAACAUUUACUUGUAUGAAAACUUAUAUCUGUAGAAACCAUGCAUUGCAGUGUAAUAUUAAUAGAACAUUAAAAAUUAUAUACCAGCACAUUCCAGUUAAAAUACAUUUCUGGAACCUUCUGUGCAGCAGCUGAAAGUUACAGAGUAAGUUAUGGCUUAUAUUAAUUUUUGGACUAUAUGUGAUUCAGGAGCCCACAUUACAUUACA